UAGGGAAUCUUCCACAAAUGGACGAAAGUCUGAUGGAGCAACGCCGCGUGAGUGAAGAAGGGUUUCGGCUCGUAAAACUCUGUUGUUAAAGAAGAACAUAUCUGAGAGUAACUGUUCAGGUAUUGACGGUAUUUAACCAGAAAGCCACGGCUAACUACGUGCCAA
rnacentral:rRNA from 1 species